rnacentral:rRNA from 1 species
CCUACGGGAGGCAGCAGUGGGGAAUUUUGGACAAUGGGCGCAAGCCUGAUCCAGCAAUGCCGCGUGAGUGAAGAAGGCCUUCGGGUUGUAAAGCUCUUUUGUCAGGGAAGAAACGGUCUGGGUUAAUACCUUGGGCUAAUGACGGUACCUGAAGAAUAAGCACCGGCUAACUACGUGCCAGCAGCCGCGGUAAUACGUAGGGUGCAAGCGUUAAUCGGAAUUACUGGGCGUAAAGCGUGCGCAGGCGGUUGUGCAAGACAGAUGUGAAAUCCCCGGGCUCAACCUGGGAAUUGCAUUUGUGACUGUACGGCUAGAGUGUGUCAGAGGGGGGUAGAAUUCCACGUGUAGCAGUGAAAUGCGUAGAGAUGUGGAGGAAUACCGAUGGCGAAGGCAGCCCCCUGGGAUAACACUGACGCUCAUGCACGAAAGCGUGGGGAGCAAACAGGAUUAGAUACCCUGGUAGUCCACGCCCUAAACGAUGUCUACUAGUUGUCGGGUCUUUAUUGACUUGGUAACGCAGCUAACGCGUGAAGUAGACCGCCUGGGGAGGUACGGUCGCGAGAGUAAACUACGAAGAAGUUAGACGGCGUGAGACGUAGACCGACGGACGACGACGAGGGAGGAGG